GGAGCCCUUCCUGGGCGGAACGGGAGCCCUUCCUGGGCAGAACUGGGGUUCGGGAGCCCUUCCUGAGCGGAACUGGGGAUCGGGAGCCCCUCCUGGGCUGGACU